UACGUAGGGUGCGAGCGUUAAUCGGAAUUACUGGGCGUAAAGCGUGCGCAGGCGGUUCGUUAUGUCCGAUGUGAAAGCCCCGAGCUUAACUUGGGAAUGGCAUUGGAAACUGGCGGGGCUGGAGUGCGGCAGAGGGGGGUGGAAUUCCGACGUGUAGCAGUGAAAUGCGUAGAGAUGUGGAGGAACACCGAUGGCGAAGGCAGCCCCCUGGGCCGACACUGACGCUCAGGCACGAAAGCGUGGGGAGCAAACAGG
rnacentral:rRNA from 1 species